rnacentral:rRNA from 1 species
AGAGUUUGAUUAUGGCUCAGGACGAACGCUGGCGGCGUGCUUAACACAUGCAAGUCGAACGGAAAGGCCUCUUCGGAGGUACUCGAGUGGCGAACGGGUGAGUAACACGUGGGCAAUCUGCCCUGCACUUCGGGAUAAGCCCGGGAAACUGGGUCUAAUACCGAAUAGGACCUCGAGACGCAUGUCCCGAGGUGGAAAGCUUUGCGGUGUGGGAUGGGCCCGCGGCCUAUCAGCUUGUUGGUGGGGUGAUGGCCUACCAAGGCGACGACGGGUAGCCGGCCUGAGAGGGUGUCCGGCCACACUGGGACUGAGAUACGGCCCAGACUCCUACGGGAGGCAGCAGUGGGGAAUAUUGCACAAUGGGCGCAAGCCUGAUGCAGCGACGCCGCGUGGGGGAUGACGGCCUUCGGGUUGUAAACCUCUUUCAGCAGGGACGAAGCGAAAGUGACGGUACCUGCAGAAGAAGCACCGGCCAACUACGUGCCAGCAGCCGCGGUAAUACGUAGGGUGCGAGCGUUGUCCGGAAUUACUGGGCGUAAAGAGCUCGUAGGUGGUUUGUCGCGUUGUUCGUGAAAACCGGGGGCUUAACCCUCGGCGUGCGGGCGAUACGGGCAGACUAGAGUACUGCAGGGGAGACUGGAAUUCCUGGUGUAGCGGUGGAAUGCGCAGAUAUCAGGAGGAACACCGGUGGCGAAGGCGGGUCUCUGGGCAGUAACUGACGCUGAGGAGCGAAAGCGUGGGGAGCGAACAGGAUUAGAUACCCUGGUAGUCCACGCCGUAAACGGUGGGUACUAGGUGUGGGUUUCCUUCCUUGGGAUCCGUGCCGUAGCUAACGCAUUAAGUACCCCGCCUGGGGAGUACGGCCGCAAGGCUAAAACUCAAAUGAAUUGACGGGG